UACGGAGGAUGCAAGCGUUAUCCGGAUUCAUUGGGUUUAAAGGGUGUGUAGGCGGGUUUGUAAGUCAGUGGUGAAAUCUUGCCGCUUAACGGUAAAAUUGCCAUUGAUACUGCAGAUCUUGAAUAUGGAUGAGGUAGGCGGAAUGUGUAGUGUAGCGGUGAAAUGCAUAGAUAUUACACAGAACAUCGAUUGCGAAGGCAGCUUACUAAACCAUUAUUGACGCUGAUGCACGAAAGCGUGGGGAGCAAACAGG
rnacentral:rRNA from 1 species